ensembl:snRNA U6 U6 spliceosomal RNA
GUGCUUGCUUUGGCAGCAUAUAUACUAAAAUUGGAGUGAUACACAGAGGAUUGGCAUGGCCCAGCACAAGAACAACAUGUAAAUUUGUGAAGUAAUCUAUAUUUUU